GGGCCCGCACAAGCGGUGGAGCAUGUGGUUUAAUUCGAUGCAACGCGAAGAACCUUACCAGGGUUUGACAUCCUGCGAAUCUCUUGGAAACAGGAGAGUGCCUUCGGGAACGCAGUGACAGGUGGUGCAUGGCUGUCGUCAGCUCGUGUCGUGAGAUGUUGGGUUAAGUCCCGCAACGAGCGCAACCCUUGUCCUUAGUUGCCAGCGAGUAAUGUCGGGAACUCUAGCAAGACUGCCGGUGCAAACCGUGAGGAAGGUGGGGAUGACGUCAAAUCAUCACGGCCCUUACGUCCUGGGCUACACACGUGCUACAAUGGUAGGUACAGAGGGCAGCUACACAGCGAUGUGAUGCGAAUCUCAAAAAGCCUAUCGUAGUCCAGAUUGGAGUCUGCAACUCGACUCCAUGAAGUAGGAAUCGCUAGUAAUCG
rnacentral:rRNA from 1 species